GACGAACGCUGGCGGCGUGCUUAACACAUGCAAGUCGAACGGAAAGGCCCUGCUUGCAGGGUGCUCGAGUGGCGAACGGGUGAGUAACACGUGGGUGAUCUGCCCCUUACUUUGGGAUAAGCCUGGGAAACUGGGUCUAAUACUGGAUAGGACCAUGCUGUAGGUGGUGUGGUGGAAAGAUUAGUUUCGGUAAGGGAUGAGCUCGCGGCCUAUCAGCUUGUUGGUGGGGUAAUGGCCUACCAAGGCGUCGACGGGUAACCGGCCUGAGAGGGUGGACGGCCACAUUGGGACUGAGAUACGGCCCAGACUCCUACGGGAGGCAGCAGUGGGGAAUAUUGCACAAUGGGCGCAAGCCUGAUGCAGCGACGCCGCGUGGGGGAUGACGGCCUUCGGGUUGUAAACUCCUUUCAGCCAUGACGAAGCCCUUGUGGUGACGGUAGUGGUAGAAGAAGCACCGGCUAACUACGUG
rnacentral:rRNA from 1 species